UAGGGGAUCUUCGGCAAUGGACGGAAAGUCUGACCGAGCAACGCCGCGUGAGUGAAGAAGGUUUUCGGAUCGUAAAACUCUGUUGGUAGAGAAGAACGUUGGUGAGAGUGGAAAGCUCAUCAAGUGACGGUAACUACCCAGAAAGGGACGGCUAAACUACGUGCCAG
rnacentral:rRNA from 1 species